GUACGGGGGGGGCAAGCGUUGUUCGGAAUUACUGGGCGUAAAGGGCGCGUAGGCGGUUGGAUAAGUCAGCUGUGAAAACCACGAGCUUAACUCGUGGCCUGCAGUUGAGACUGUCUGGCUUGAGUGUGGGAGAGGAGAGUGGAAUUCCUGGUGUAGCGGUGAAAUGCGUAGAUAUCAGGAGGAACACCGGUGGCGAAGGCGGCUCUCUGGACCACAACUGACGCUGGAGGCGACGAAAGCGUGGGGAGCAAACAGG
rnacentral:rRNA from 1 species